AGAGUGUGAUCCUGGCUCGGGAUGAACGCUGGCGGCGCGCCUAACACAUGCAAGUCGAACGGCACCCCUCUCCGGAGGGAAGCGAGUGGCGAACGGCUGAGUAACACGUGGAGAACCUGCCCCCUCCCCCGGGAUAGCCGCCCGAAAGGACGGGUAAUACCGGAUACCCCGGGGGGGCGGGUGGCACCCCGGCUAAAGCCCCGACGGGAGGGGAUGGCUCCGCGGCCCAUCAGGUAGACGGCGGGGUGACGGCCCACCGUGCCGACAACGGGUAGCCGGGUUGAGAGACCGACCGGCCAGAUUGGGACUGAGACACGGCCCAGACUCCUACGGGAGGCAGCAGUGGGGAAUCUUGCGCAAUGGGGGGAACCCUGACGCAGCGACGCCGCGUGCGGGACGGAGGCCUUCGGGUCGUAAACCGCUUUCAGCAGGGAAGAGUCAAGACUGUACCUGCAGAAGAAGCCCCGGCUAACUACGUGCCAGCAGCCGCGGUAAUACGUAGGGGGCGAGCGUUAUCCGGAUUCAUUGGGCGUAAAGCGCGCGUAGGCGGCCCGGCAGGCCGGGGGUCGAAGCGGGGGGCUCAACCCCCCGAAGCCCCCGGAACCUCCGCGGCUUGGGUCCGGUAGGGGAGGGUGGAACACCCGGUGUAGCGGUGGAAUGCGCAGAUAUCGGGUGGAACACCGGUGGCGAAGGCGGCCCUCUGGGCCGAGACCGACGCUGAGGCGCGAAAGCUGGGGGAGCGAACAGGAUUAGAUACCCUGGUAGUCCCAGCCGUAAACGAUGGGCGCUGGGUGUGGGGGGAGCGAUCCCCCCGUGCCGCAGCCAACGCAUUAAGCGUCCCGCCUGGGGAGUACGGCCGCAAGGCUAAAACUCAAAGGAAUUGACGGGGGCCCGCACAAGCAGCGGAGCAUGUGGCUUAAUUCGAAGCAACGCGAAGAACCUUACCAGGGCUUGACAUAUGGGUGAAGCGGGGGAGACCCCGUGGCCGAGAGGAGCCCAUACAGGUGGUGCAUGGCUGUCGUCAGCUCGUGUCGUGAGAUGUUGGGUUAAGUCCCGCAACGAGCGCAACCCCCGCCGCGUGUUGCCAUCGGGUGAUGCCGGGAACCCACGCGGGACCGCCGCCGUCAAGGCGGAGGAGGGCGGGGACGACGUCAAGUCAUCAUGCCCCUUAUGCCCUGGGCUGCACACGUGCUACAAUGGCCGGUACAGAGGGAUGCCACCCCGCGAGGGGGAGCGGAUCCCGGAAAGCCGGCCCCAGUUCGGAUUGGGGGCUGCAACCCGCCCCCAUGAAGUCGGAGUUGCUAGUAAUCGCGGAUCAGCAUGCCGCGGUGAAUGCGUACGCGGGCCUUGCACUCACCGCCCGUCA
rnacentral:rRNA from 1 species